rnacentral:lncRNA from 1 species
UGCCAAACUCCAGUCCACCUUCCAUAUAACUGGGCAGAGGGAUCUCAAUAGCUUGUUUAGCAUCUCUUCAUUCAUAUACAAAGCACAAUCACCUGUGCCAAUAGGUGCAAGCUGUCCUAACAUGAUAUUCUCAGUUACACCCCUGAGGUAAUCUGUUUCUGCAUACACAGCAGCAUCAAGAAGAAUGUCCACUGUUUCUUCAAAGGAGCAUCUCAUCAUGGGGCCAGUAUCGUUGCGAUUGAUACCAUGACGGGUGAUGGCCAUCAAGUGACCACGAUAUGUCAUGGUAUCACACAAUAUAGCCAAAUGUCUAUAGUUCACGUAAGACCCAUCAAAUGAUAUGACAACACGCAACUCAUCCAGCAAGGCUUUGCGAACUGCCUCAAUGCCAAGAACUUCAAUAACUUCAAUCAAAUGAUUGCUUGUUGUCCUACUUGCAUCUACAUCUUCAUGGCAAAUUACAGCUAAAAGAUUAACACCUUCGGUGUCAAGCAUCCACUCAUUCUCAGCCUUGAAGCCUUCAUUUUCAUCAAACUUAUUUACCUUGCCAUUCUUUAUGAACACCUUAUUGAUAUCUGGUAUGCCUCGAAGAGCCAUUUCUGUAAGCAUGUUACCCUCAAUCUUUUUGAGGAAGACAUCAUCCUCAGCAGAUUCAUCAUUCAACUCACCUUUAGGGGCUUCAUCAUUCAUAAUACGAAUACGAAGGAUAAGCUUUUCAGCAUUAUCAUCAUUAAAUAUGCACGUUAGAUCACUAUCAAAUUCAGCAUUAAUCUUAUGGGAAAUAUCAGCCAUGUUGAGUUUCUUAUCCACCAUCAUUUCUCUGUUUAACUCUAUGCGAAGCAACCACGGAGAGAUCUUGUCGGGGUCAACAUCAUCAUCUGGCAUCUCAAAGUAGGACGUCACAAAUUCAACAUCUUCCUCAAUAAUAGUGCUCUUAGGAUCUGGAUCGUACCAUACCUCUGUUGCUUGUGUUACACUCCGCAAGGUUGUAUACUCCAGAGCGCACUGGACAUUUUUGGCCUUCUCCUUAGUUUUGCUUACACCAGGCUUCAAGUAUACCGAGAGNAGGUAAUCUGUUUCUGCAUACACAGCAGCAUCAAGAAGAAUGUCCACUGUUCUCAAAGGAGCAUCUCAUCAUGGGGCCAGUAUCGUUGCGAUUGAUACCAUGACGGGUGAUGGCCAUCAAGUGACCACGAUAUGUCAUGGUAUCACACAAUAUAGCCAAAAUGUCUAUAGUUCACGUAAGACCCAUCAAAUGAUAUGACAACACGCAACUCAUCCAGCAAGGCUUUGCGAACUGCCUCAAUGCCAAGAACUUCAAUAACUUCAAUCAAAUGAUUGCUUGUUGUCCUACUUGCAUCUACAUCUUCAUGGCAAAUUACAGCUAAAAGAUUAACACCUUCGGUGUCAAGCAUCCACUCAUUCUCAGCCUUGAAGCCUUCAUUUUCAUCAAACUUAUUUACCUUGCCAUUCUUUAUGAACACCUUAUUGAUAUCUGGUAUGCCUCGAAGAGCCAUUUCUGUAAGCAUGUUACCCUCUAAUCUUUUUGUAGGAAGACAUCAUCCUCAGCAGAUUCAUCAUUCAACUCACCUUUAGGGGCUUCAUCAUUCAUAAUACGAAUACGAAGGAUAAGCUUUUCAGCAUUAUCAUCAUUAAAUAUGCACGUUAGAUCACUAUCAAAUUCAGCAUUAAUCUUAUGGGAAAUAUCAGCCAUGUUGAGUUUCUUAUCCACCAUCAUUUCUCUGUUUAACUCUAUGCGAAGCAACCACGGAGAGAUCUUGUCGGGGUCAACAUCAUCAUCUGGCAUCUCAAAGUAGGACGUCACAAAUUCAACAUCUUCCUCAAUAAUAGUGCUCUUAGGAUCUGGAUCGUACCAUACCUCUGUUGCUUGUGUUACACUCCGCAAGGUUGUAUACUCCAGAGCGCACUGGACAUUUUUGGCCUUCUCCUUAGUUUUGCUUACACCAGGCUUCAAGUAUACCGAGAGAGAGGGUGUUUUAAUUUUCUUAGCAACAUUAAUAAUCUCCCUCAACCUUGGAACACCUAAAGUUAACAAUUCUUGGCACUCACACCAGCAUAGUGAAAUGUAUUGAGGGUCAUCUGUGUAGCAGGUUCACCAAUGGAUUGUGCAGCAACACAUCCUAUCAUUUCACCAGCAGCAACAAGUGACUGAAGAAAACGGGAUUCUAUCUCGCCAACUACCCAGUCAAAAGCCUCACGGGUAAGUCUGUACUCCUUCAGGACCCUUUUACUUGCUAAAGCACUACGAAGCAAUAUAUUGAAGAAAAGAGUAGCAUUCUUCUGUGCUUCCAAACUCAGAUAAUCAUCACCAACAACCACCUUAAGCCUUUCUUGUAACUUAUCAACAGCUUCUACAAUCUCCAUUGGAUGCAUAUCAGACGGUCUCCGAAAAUCAACUCUAAAGGUCUUCUGUGCAUUCAAAACAAGCCUCUUGAUGUUGACAGGGAGGGGCCAAGAAUUGUCACCCGUGGUGGCAAUCUCUGUUCCAAGUUGAUACCUAUCGGCUUCAAGUUUCUGAACCUCUGCAUCAAACACACUGCGGAUUUCACGAAUCGUUUUCAGAUCUUCCACAGCUUCAGGUAACAUAUAAUUAGGAUUCCAGUUUGGGUGAUCAAUCUCAUAUUUGUACAUGUCAUUGAAAUCCGAUCUCUUCAACUUCAGUGAUUCCAAAGGCUGUGAUUCAAUCCAAACUGCAUCCAUACCAUCUUCCCCGUACAGAAACUGAAUCACAUCACCUAACGAAUUCCUAACAGUCCCAUCAUACUUAACCAUGAUAUCUUCCAUAGCCUUCACCAAUCGCCUCUGAAUAUAUCCAGUCUCAGAAGUUUUCACUGCAGUGUCAAUAAGACCUUCCCUACCACCCAUGGCAUGGAAAAAGAACUCUUGAGGAGACAAUCCUCGAAGAUAUGAGUUCUCCACAAAACCACGACUCUCUGGACCAUAAUCAUCUUUGGUGAAGUGUGGAAGUGUGCGAUCCACAAAACCAAAAGGAAUUCGCUUGCCUUCAACAUUCUGCUGACCCACACAUGCAGUCAUCUGAGAAAUAUUGAUGAAACUUCCCUUAGACCCUGCAGUGACCAUAGCUUUGAGGUUGUUACUUUCUGCCAAGCUCUUCUGAGCACUGCUUCCAGCAUCAUCACGAGCCUUAUUCAACACCUGAAGGCACAAAACAUAUAUAAGGGAAUCACCAGGCUGCAGCAAGGAAAUCAAAAUUUUUAACAAACCUGGUUAACUCUGUUCUCGAACGAUUCCAUCAUUGUUCUUCCUGGCUCAGCUUCCAAUUGCUUUUCUUGUGCAGCCCUGAUAAGUUCAUUCACCUCAUUCUUAGCUUUGUUAAUAGUUUCAGAGAUCUUCGUCAUUGUAUCAUGAUCAGCAAUUGUAUCUCCAAUUCCCAUGCUAAAAGCGUUCUGCAAAAGCCAAUAAUUGACCAGCCAUUGUGUAUGUCCCAAAAAUUUCCGAGCUGCAUCUGGACCGACUUCUUCCCUGAGACCAGUAUACAUUAUAUUAAACACAUAAAUAUGAAUAAAGAAUCUUUCGGGCUUUCAGUUCAUUAUUAUAAUAUUUAUUACUCCUUGUUUCAUGUGCCAUAUCAUAUGUUUUGAUGUCACAAAUGCUAUAAUAUUCACACAGAAGAGCUACUAGAGUGGAGGAAGACUGAUAUAUGCAAAAGCUAAAUUGUUAAAGAGUACAGAAAUUUUCAAUAAGAUACUCAUGUAGUUUUAAACUUCUGAAGAAAAUUAAUCUUCUCUUCUACAAAUUCCGAUGGAGUAAGCAAAGGAACACUUUCUUGAAAUGGCAUUAGUUUUAUUGAUAUCUAUAAUGAGUGCAAGCAUGGAGAUUGAUAAAGUGUUUUGUCUGCAAAGAAACAGUACCCAUUUUUUUGUGCCAAAAGGAGAAUCUUUUUGCUAGUGAAAAGAGAGGGUAUUUCAUUGGUAACUCAAGCAAGUUCUUUUGAAAGUAUUACUUCUUCAAUCAACAUAUUGCGAGUUCUGACUCAUUUGCGAGAUCCUAGAAUAUAUAAAUAAAAGACACCAACUUCAUUUAAAGUAUUUGCAUACAUAUGCUCCCAAUCCCCAUUGCCCAUAGAGCAAUGGACCAAUUUAAUACAACAUGAAUUCUUCAGAAGAUAAAAGUGAAAGUCAUGCUUUUGCUCUUAAAUUUAAGGUUGAACGAAAAAUGUGACCCGCAAACAGCCCCAUACCUCCAUUUUACCCAACUUUCCACUUAUUACAUUUUGCUACUAGAUACUUCAGGUAUGUUACCCGCAAUCAGCCCCAAUUCAUAAUAUGGAUAAGUUGGGUGGGCGUUUAGGAGACAAUAGUUUCCUUUCAAAACCCACCAAAUGCAGAAAUGGUACUGCAAAAAUUCCAGAAAGAACGUACCAAAUAACAUGUAUGAGACUUCCACUAGAUGACCCGAGUGUUUUCUUGCAUAGGGUGCCUGAAAGUAACUCCCCUUUUUCUAUCCGUACUUGAGUAUCCCCAGGAGUAAUAAAUCCUUUUUCAGUUUCUUGAUGCCAUGAAGAAUACCUUAAUAGAUUUAUCUGUCUUGGAAUGAUUAAAUUAAAUACUUGUUUCCCAGUCCAAAGAGGCUUAGGUUUCAGAAUUGUUGGAGCAGGUACUUUGCCAUCAAAAUCCUCCCACCACAUAAGGAUGUUCAUAAAAACAUCCUGCGAACAAUACAGACAGCGAUAUCAGAUUGAAUGUGGACACUUACCUAAAAAUUACAUAAUGAUGACAGAAAAUCAAAUGUUACCUUGUCAAUAAAAGUAUCUCUCUUAGUGAUUUUGCGACAUCCUAGUAGUGUAUCCUGCACAAUACCCAUUACAGGUCGAUUUGAUUGAGGUGACACGAUGCAUUUUGGAACCAUCAUUAAUUCCAGAACUUCGGCUCUAGUUUCAAAUGACUGGGGCACGUGCAUAUUCAUUUCAUCUCCAUCAAAAUCAGCAUUGUAGGGUGAGGUAACAGACAGAUUUAAGCGGAAUGUUGAAUAUGGCAUAAUCUUGAUUCUGUGGCCCAUAAUGGACAUCUUAUGGAGACUCGGUUGCCGAUUGAACAGGACAAAGUCUCCAUCAUUUAAAUGUCUCUCAACCUGUACCAUCAAAUAAUAGGAAUCAGGUGUCAAAAGGAAUCCAAUGCUUGAUCAUUCUCAAUUAUAUAGCUGGGAGUCUCACCUUAUAUCCAAGUUCUAGAUGCUGAUCACUACUCUUUUUCAAGUACCGGAGAUCAAGCCUCUGUCCAUCAUCCCUAAUAAUAUAUUUUGCGCCAGUUUUACCAGGAGGGGGAUGAGGUCCAUAUUCCACAAGCUCUUUCAAUCUAUUUUCAAGGUCAAUAUCUGGUUAACAAGAAUAACCAAAAAGUAUAGAGGGAUCACUAUCAAGAAAUAUGGUAAGAGUGCCUAACCUUUCGAUGUUAUAUGGAGUUACAGUUUCAGGAUAUGUAAGAUUUAAGGCAAUACUCCAAGGCACACCCAGCUGGUCGAUGUUGAUUGUUGGGUCAGGUGUAAUCACAGUCCGAGCCGAAAAAUCUACUCGCUUACCCAUCAAGUUACCUCUGAUCCUACCAUCUUUUGCCUUAAGCCUGCUACAUAUUGAUUUAAUGGGUCUGCCAGAUCUUUGGGUAGCCUGAUGUAUACAAGGAUACUUCACUUGUUAGAUAAAUGAUGUUCCAGGAACUGCAUCCACAGUCUCAAUAUACUGAAAUAAUAUAACAUACUCUUGGUUGACCAGGUAAAUCGUUAUCAAAGUAUGUAGCCACAUGGAACUGCAGCAACUGUGCAAACUCAGAGAUGAUGUGUGCAGGAGCCCCAUUCCGCUCCUGCCUCUUUAAGUUCUCAUUAUGCCUAAUGAUCAUGGCCAGUUGAUGAGUUAAAUCAUCCUGCAUAAAUUGAUUCAAUUAUUAGAUUCUCCUGCAACUUAAAAGCAGCAAUCCGAGGAACAUGCAAUUGAUUGACUUGAUCAGUUUGCAGUGAACAGAACCCGAUACACUUAUCUGACCUAAAGGAACAAUUAGGGGUAAUCUAAACACCCAUGACAUUGUAGAGAUCAAAAGGAGAAGUCAUGCCUCACUCCGAGAAGAAGUAUCCAUCAUUACAGAAGGCCUAACUGGAGGAGGAGGGAUUGGAAGAACUUGAAGAAUCAUCCAGUCAGGGCGAGCAUAUUUUGGAUUCAAGCCCAACAACUGACAAUCUUCAUCAGUAAUUCUCUUCAGUAUGCUGAGCACCUGAAACAAAAAGGAAAUAGAGAUUGUUGGGAUUAGCGCAUAAAUCAAUCUAUCACAUUAUCCAGGCUGGAAAAAAAAGUUUGAAUCCCUAUUCUCUGGCAAUUUAUGAUAUAUGAUACCUUCUCUGCAGAGAGAAGUUGUUUUCGUUCAACAGGUUCAGGCAUCUGGUCCUGGUCAUCACUUUUCUUCUUCUGAAUCUUGUAUUCAGCAACCAUUUUCAUCCCAUCUAUAGAAAUCUUUGGCUGCUGAGCACCGCAUCCACCCCUAGACUUCUUCACAGGUUCUUCCGAAUCUUGACCUCGCACAUCGAUCUCAUCACCUCCUUCACAUUUGGAUUUGUUUUUGCAGGCAUCUAAUAUCUUCUUUAAUCUAUUCUUAGGGUUUCUAAUUCUCAUUGCUUGCUUGAACUUGGGAUCGUCCUAGAAAAAUUAACAAGGGAUCAAAAUACAUUGCAAAAGAAAACGAUUGUUCCAACUUCCAAGUAACUUUAUUUCCAUUUGAAGUAUAAUAUUCAGGCAAUAAUGAAAAUAACUAACUUUUACAACAGCAACACUCCUAGGAGAUGCAUCCAGAUGAUGAAAUACCUCAAACUGCUUCUAUCUUACCAAUAUGCAUUUCUAUAAAAGUAACACAAUUAUUGAAGACAUAACAGAACCUAGAAGCCUAAAACUGGAUCGUUGCUAGUCAUAAGUCUUACUAUCCAGUCACUCUUGCAAGUAAUAAGAAUGUUACAAUUAAAUCAGUUGCCCAGUUCAGGAUGGUCAUGAAUAAGACAGAAGUCUGACCCUCCUAGUAUACGAACAUAUACAUGAAAUAAGCAUUUUCCGUGAAUCCAGCAUAUGUUAUACACUUCUGAAAAAUUCAGUCUGCUACUCAGGCCUCACAACAGCGGAAUCAAUAGUCAUACCCAAUAUGAACCAAGUGAGCAUGACUGUACAAAUUCAUACUACUUAAACCGAAAACGUCCAUAACUUCAAUCUAACUACUCGGGAAAUGUACAAUACCUCAUCCGCUAAAAUCUUAGAGCAAUUGAAGCAGACACUGCGGAGAAUACUGAGCACAGUCUUCAUGAAGCCAAUGUGAAACAUAGGUUUGGCGAGCUCAAGGUGACCGAAGUGACCGGGGCAGUCAGCCAUGUUCGCCAUACAAGUCUCGCACUUCAUCUUCCGAUCAAUCGUCCCCAGACGCGGGUCGCUCAAACCACCGAUCUUCGGCUUGCCUCUUUCCGUCGUCUCGCUGUGCUCUAUAUGCACAACAGACAUUUGUCUCUACAAAACACACCAUAAAACAAUAGACCAUCAUUUCCAACUCAAUCACACACUCAAUGCCGAAACUGAAAGUUCAAAACAUUCAAAGAAGUGAGAAUUACGAUCUCAUCGGGGCUGAGAAUGCCGAAUUGGACGACGCGGACUUUCGCGACCUCUGCCGGCGAGAAGGGGAACCGCAGAUCCAUUGCGACACCGGAGAUUCUACCCUAGGGUUUUCGAUUAUGAUUUAUUAUGCUAGCUGAUAUAUAAUAAUUCCAAAAUUAGAAACAAAUAUGGUUUUCAAGUACUUCAAAUUAUUCGCGGUUUCUGUUAAGUAACUGAUUUUUGGGGUUUUUGAAGAAAACUUUUUUCACGCUGCGCUCUUCUCUGAAGGAGGAGAGGCGGCUUUGAGACCAAAGAAGAGAAUGAGGGGUUGAAGGGGUAUUUAAAGAGAUGGAUGGCUUCGAAGUCGGCGCUUAAUGGGGUUGUUUGGCUACACAGUUAUGAGCUGGACAUCUUCCUCUCGUUUGGUCCAUCUAUUAAAAAAUCUUCUUAAUCUAUUUUUAAACAUAAUUUCAUCAACUAUUAUCCUUAUAAUUUUCAUUUUUUGUAAGACUCAUUUUUCACUUAUCAAGUAUACAAUUAAUUUUUAUUAAAAUUCAUGUCACCCUCCUUUAUAAAGAUCUUUGAGAAAUGAAGGGAGUGUUAAUUCCAAAUAUUUGGUAAAAUAAGUACAUAAAUACUCAUUUCGUCCCAACUUUUAGUAUCAAUUUAAGAAUGACACGUGUUUUAAUAAAGUUGUUAAGUGUGUUGUGAGUGGAAUAAGGGUCUCGCAUUUUACGUGAAUGUUAAAAUAAUUAAAGUGGAGUAAGGGUCUCACCUACUUUUACUAAAAAUAAAAAUGAAUAUCAAAAUAUGGAACGGCCAAAAAAGGAAAUAUGAAUACUAAAAGUUGGGACGAAGAUAGUAGUUUACAAGCUCUACAAAUAAGUUUCUACAAUUUAUAAGCUUUUCAAACUACAAACUUUUUACCAUAAAUUACUUUUUCAUAAUUUUAUACUUCCUUCAUCCCAAUUCNCUUAUAAUUUUUCAUUUUUUUGUAAGACUCAUUUUUUCACUUAUCAAGUAUACAAUUAAUUUUUAUUAAAAUUCAUGUCACCCUCCUUUAUAAAGAUCUUUGAGAAAUGAAGGGAGUGUUAAUUCCAAAUAUUUGGUAAAAUAAGUACAUAAAUACUCAUUUCGUCCCAACUUUUAGUAUCAAUUUAAGAAUGACACGUGUUUUAAUAAAGUUGUUAAGUGUGUUGUGAGUGGAAUAAGGGUCUCGCAUUUUACGUGAAUGUUAAAAUAAUUAAAGUGGAGUAAGGGUCUCACCUACUUUUACUAAAAAUAAAAAUGAAUAUCAAAAUAUGGAACGGCCAAAAAAGGAAAUAUGAAUACUAAAAGUUGGGACGAAGAUAGUAGUUUACAAGCUCUACAAAUAAGUUUCUACAAUUUAUAAGCUUUUCAAACUACAAACUUUUUACCAUAAAUUACUUUUUCAUAAUUUUAUACUUCCUUCAUCCCAAUUCAAUAGGCCACAAGACAAGGCUUGGACAUGGAUAUUAAGAAGCGAAUAGUUUAUAAUAAAAUACGAGAGAGAAAGUAGCUUUUUUUAGAGUAAAUUUGUGAAAAAAGUAGGAGAGAGUAGAGAUAAUUUUGUGGGAUCACAAUGAUAUUUGAUGUACAUAAUGAGUUGUGCGAAGGUGUUUGUUAUAUACUAUGAUUUUUUAUUUUAGGAAGUGACCUAUUGAAUUGGAACGUCCAAAUAAGGAUUCAUGACAUAUUUAAAUGGAACUGAGGGAGUAAUAUAUUUUACAAAAAUUAUUCAAUUAUACUUUAUUACUAUUUUCAUCAUAUACACUUUAAACCACUUUGCAAAAAUUAACUCAAUCAUAUAAAUACUUUCACAACUUAUAAGCUCUUACAAAAAUACAUUUUUAAAAUUUUUGAAACAUUUUAUAAAUUGCUACAAUUAUAAAUUUCUUAAAAUAAGCUUAUCCAAACAUCCCCUUAAUUCUACAACAAAAUUUUAACAAAUGGAGUAUAAAUGAGCUAUGAUUGGUAACAUAUUUUUCCUACAAAAAUAAUAAGCGAUAGGUAACAUAACUAGCGUGGGAACUAAGAAUCAAUCUGGUCUAUUAAUUUGAUUAAAUGAUCAUGAUUGAUUUCCAUAUUGAACAAUACAUAUAUAUGAUAAUGCAUCAGUUUAUGCCAGAAAUUAUGCCAUGCUGAUAAAUAAUACUCCAUUCGUCCCAAACGAAAUGUCCUAUUUCUUUUCGGUACGGAAAUUAAGAAAUGUGUAUAAAAUAGAUUAAGUGGGUUGGUGAAAAUUAUUUAAAUAUUAAGUAUAGAGAGAGAGUGUAGUGCCAAAAAAGGAAACAUGACAUUUCGUUUGAGAUAGCCCAAAAAGGAAAACAGUACAUUUCGUUUGGAACGGAGGGAGUAUAGUGCAUACUUAUAAUAAACAACGUAGUUUUAAGUGUGGUGCCCACUUCGGGGGAGCUUGUUGGAUUUAUAAUAAACGACGUAGUUUUCAUAUAUACAAAAAAUCCUCUUCCAUUGAGAUGGUUUCUUACAUUCUUGGCUUCAGCUGCGCAUGGCUUAUCUAUGCAUGCAUUAUUUUAGUUAUAAGCAAUUUAGUAAAUAAAAUAACAAAAUGGAUGGAUUAACAUUGCCACAAAACAUGAUGACACUAUUAGUAUUUUACUUCAAAGGGGAAGAAAAAAAAACUUUAUACGAAUGAAAGAAUGCCAUGUUAAACAAUCUCUCUUAGCCAAAUUGGAAAGCUAUGAGACCAAACAAAUGGACUACAAAUUAAAAAAGAGGUUAUAAAGUGACACGGGACUUAUACGCCACGUGCGGAGUUCAGCUGCCCGACUGCCGGAGUUCAGCUGCCCGACUGCCGGCCUGGUAUGAAAAUGAUUGGGUUAGGGUAGGGUGUCCCAUGCAACAAAUCCUCAUUCCACCUUCCCUUUGUCAGUUUCAUUUACCACACUAAGCCAUGUAAACAAUACCAACACAAUCACAAAAUCAGCAAAUCUAUUCGAACUCGCUUGGCCUAUGGUGAAAGCAGGAUGGAAAAGAAAGCAAAAUAAGCAAAGGUAAAUAUACCUGCUUGGACUGGAAGGAGAAAAAGAUGGUGAUGUUGGGCUGCAAAACCACAGAAAAUAAUAUGUCAAGGUAGCAUUUGAAAGAGAGUUUCACCAGUUCAGAAUAUAUCCUAGUCUUGUCGGGGAAAUAAAACAAAAAGAGUAAUACUCUAGGGAACAAUUUAUCCAGCUUCCUCUGUGGACAAUCAAGUAUAGAAACAGAGUAAUACAUUUAACCAAGGUUAUAUUUGUUAGCAAACUUGAAGAGCAAAAAUUAAAAUAAGGCUUGCCAAAAGUUACCUGAGACUCGGAGAAUAUGGACUGUACGGACUUGAAGGUGUGAUUUUUGGACUUGUAGGUGAAUAUGCUUGUGAAGGGCUAUACCUUGCUGAAGGAUUGUAACUUGGUGAGGUCAGACUGUAAGUCGGUGAGGUGGGACUGUAUCCAGGUGAAGUUGGGCUGUAGGCAGGAGAGGUAGGGCUGUAUGAAGGUGAGGUUGGGCUGUACGAUGGAGAGGUUGGGCUGUAAGAUGGUGAGGUUGGGCUGUAAGAGGGAGACGUGGGGCUGUAAGCCGGAGAAGUUGGGUUAUAAGCAGGUGAGGUUGGGCUGUAAGAGGGAGACGUGGGGCUGUAAGCCGGAGAAGUUGGGCUAUACGCAGGUGAGGUUGGGCUGUAUGCUGGAGAAGUUGGGCUGUAGCUCGGAGAUGUAGGGCUGUAGCUCGGAGAUGUGGGGCUAUAGCUAGGAGAUGUUGGGCUGUAGGAAGGAGACGUUGGUGAAUAAGAUGGGCUUGUGGGAGAAUAGGCAGGGCUUGUAGGACUAUAUCCAGGAGAACUAGGACUAUAUGUUGGGGACGUAGGGCUGUAACCAGGGGAAGUAGGACUGUACCCAGGUGAGGUGGGGCUGUAUCCAGGAGAUGACGGGCUGUACCCUGGAGACGAUGUAGGAGAAAACGCCAUCCCGCCCACAUACGGAGAAAACUGAGCAUCUGAAACAGGAGAUAACCGAAGAUUUGGGCUCAGCAUAUAAUUUGGUGACAUCAUGCCAUCAUGAUAUGGGGUCCCUGAGAUGGGUGAACGGCCAGGAGUCAUGCCAAACUCCAGUCCACCUUCCAUAUAACUGGGCAGAGGGAUCUCCAUAGCUUGUUUUAGCAUCUCUUCAUUCAUAUACAAAGCACAAUCACCUGUGCCAAUAGGUGCAAGCUGUCCUAACAUGAUAUUCUCAGUGACACCCCUGAGGUAAUCUGUUUCUGCAUACACAGCAGCAUCAAGAAGAAUGUCCACUGUUUCUUCAAAGGAGCAUCUCAUCAUGGGGCCAGUAUCAUUGCGAUUGAUACCAUGACGGGUGAUGGCCAUCAAGUGACCACGAUAUGUCAUGGUAUCACAC